GAAUUGAGAUUUAAAUGAGCAUAAAUUCAAAUGUUAUCUUAAAACAGAGUAGUAAAGCUUAGAAAAAAGUGUCCAGCAGUUUCUAGGAAAAGCAAGUGGAGGAAAAAAGUGAAUGAAAAUACACAAAAGUUUCUCAGGAUGUUCCCCAAAGCAUAGAAUCCUCAGAGGGUUUCCAAUGAGUUUUGAACCUUACCAUUAAGUUAAAUGUGUCAUUUUAGUCUUAACUAGUCUUCCAAAAUAAGUAGAAAUUCUAAAUAAUAUUUUUUUUUCACAUAUGUAAUAUGGAUUCCAUGCCAGUUGCAUAUUCCUCAAGCCAAAUAAAUGAAGGAAUGAACAAAGGAAUAAUGAUUAAAAGAAGGCUACUCAUCAGCUGCCUUUGGUCUGUGGUGCUUGCGUCACCACCAAUAGAUUAGUGGGGAUGAAUCCUACCAAUUAACUUGAAAUGAAAUAGGUGAAAGUGCUUCUCUACAGCAGUGUGAAACAUGAAAAAGCAUACAUUUCUUUCAGUACUUUGGGCUAUAUAGUCUGCAUAAGGUUAGAAAGAUAAACUUUUCCUAAGUUGUUCCCCUCCCAGGGAAGUUAUUUCCAUGAUCAUUACAGGAGCUUAGAAGCAAUUCAGGUAUUAAAUAUAACUUCUGGCUUUCAAUAUAUGAAUCUUAAGGAAAUCUUGAACAUUCUAAAGGCAUUCUGGAAUAGAGCACUCUAUUUCCUUUUAUCAAAGGCUUUACCGUGGGUAGUAAGAAUAAGAGACCCCUCUUUCCUGGUGUUUGUUUACAAGGGUGUAAAAUACUUGAUAGAGAAGUUAAGACACAGAAAACAAUAAUACUAAAUGGUUAUAAAAUAUUGUUAUAAAUCAACUGUAAGUGUUUUAGAUUAUGAAAACUUUGUAAUUGCUAAGAAAUAACUUGCUGAAGGAUUGUCCCAAACUGGAAGAUCUGUGGUUUCAGUGAGUCAGUAUACACAUUUUACAAAAUCGCGUACUUGGUGGUGGUGCACUUUGCAGCAGUCAUUUUCUUUACCAUUUGGCCAUUAAAUAUAUUAAUUCAGUUUCUGAAAUACAUGGAGCUAAUCUUUUAAUUCUGAGCCUUAAUAAGUAUUAUUCCCUCUGACUAGGUAGAAUGUUCUCAUUAGGAGUCACAUGUCUGAUUCCUUUAUAUGCCAAUUCAGAUGCUACUUCUGGGUAGCUCAUCCCAACUGCUUCCCCCAUAGACACGUAGCUUUGGAGUCUCUUUACACUCACCCUGUAUUCGUUCCCACCAUGUCUUCUUCAUCCUGGUUAGUUUCUUUGAAUUUUGUCAGCUCAAACCAAAACCCUCCAAAGAAUGCUUGAUUGCUCAUUUUUUUUUUUUCACUACCUUAUGCUCCAUCCCUGUUUAUAUCAUGUCAGCAGGUACUUUGGUCUCUGCCUGCAAAGUGUGUUCUCAAUCAGACCAUUUCUCUCGAUCUUCAUUGUUAAUCAGUCAAAGCCAUACCGUUUUAACUGGACAAAUGUAGUGCCGAUUGAGUGUUCUUUUGGCUUUGAUAAUUGUGCCCCUAUAGUUACAUCAGCAGCCCCAGUGAUCUUUUAGAACAUAAAUCAAGUAGUGUCCAUUCUCUGCUGAGAAUACACUAAAGGCUUCCAAUCAUACUUAGGAUUAAAUUCAGACCCUUUAACUUGCCCUACCAGCCCUGCAUAAUCAGGCUUCCAUUUCUCUGUCCAACCUUACUAUUUUUUUUUCAAAAAUUAUUCUUGUCCCCCCUGGCCGGCCACAUUUGAGCCACACUGACUCCUUUCCUCUUUCUUGUACACCUCAAACUCAUUCCUACCACAGAACCUUUGUACCACUGUCCCCUUAUCCUGAAACAGUUUUCACUGCUCUCAAUGUACUACCCCUUGUUAGUAGUAGCAUGGGGCCCUAAGGCUAUAUACCAUUUUAUCCUGUGUUUAAUUCAGUUUCUACUUAUCUGAACUAGAUAAGCAGAGGGCCAUGUGGCAUAUAAUGGAGAAGUCUUGAACCAGUGAAAAAAUUAUGGACUCUGAACUACCACUUAAAUAAUUCUCACAGUUAACUAUUAUUAGCACUAUUAUUAGCCUUGUUGCUUAAUAACUACUUAAUAAAGCAGAGAUUGGGGUAGAACUUGAAAACAAUUUAUUGGAUAGCUUCAAGUAAUAAGAAUGAGUCCCACAGAGGAGAGAAAUAACUACUAGCAACUUUUUGGGGGGAGAGGAUUAAGCCACAAGCCAUAAUAAUUUGCAGCAGCAAACAUUGUAAUACUAAUCAGUCAUGAAUCACUUAUAUUUGUUUCUUAUUCAAUCACGGCUCAGUGGUUGCUUUGGAAGUUUGCGUUUUCUCUGACAGAUUUUUCUUUGGUAGCCUUUUAAUUUGAAUUGAAUUGAAUUGAAUUGAAUUUUUUUUUUAGAUUUUAAAAAUUGAGGUGUUAAAUUUCGAUUCUCAUCUACAUCACUAAAGUUCCUUCAUAUUCUCUAAAAAGACCCAGAAUGUCUCUGUCCAGUGUUUGAAAAGAAUUCUUUCAUCUCCCCAAAUCAUGUGCCCACUGGCUCAUUGGACAGACAAUCUGAAAUCUAUGCCAGGUCUGUUAUAAAUCACAAGCCUGCAUUUCUUGUGCCAGGUUCUACUCCGGGCGCAGGUGGGUUUCUGCACAGCCAACCCGCCAUGGCACUCUACCACCUGGUGAAGAAAUCUGUUAGGCAUAGGAGAAGACUCUUUGUGGCUUUUAUUGACUCUUCUUUUGCCUUUGAAUCUGUGAACAGAAAUCCACUAUUGAGUAAAGCAACAUGAAUUCAAUUCAGACCCUGCAUUAUUGAUUUUCAAGCAGAACCAGGGCCAUAGUACUGUUGCACUGUUGGUUACAUUCAGGAUCAAUACGAAUGUCUCUUGAGAAAUCAGAGGGCAGUUUUCAUUGGAAUUAGACAGGAAUGUGUUUUGUCUCCCAUCUGUCCACAAGUUUUAAGUUCUUAAUGAUUUAAUUUCCAUUUUUGGACGAAUUAGAUCCACUAUAUCCCUAUUCUGGAGAAUAGAAAGAAAUGCAUCCUCUAGUAUGUAGAUGAUGUGUUUAGUAAUAGAAACUAAGGAUAUUUAAAAUCAUCCACUGACCCGGCUAAUCAGUCCCUGUCAUGAGUUAAUUAUUUUAAAACCAUUAUUGUGAUUUUACUUGAUACCUCUUGCAUUUAAAUUAGUAUAAUUGGAAGUCUGAAAAAACAAGUUGCCUCAAUUUGGUACACAGGUUUGCAUUUGACAUCUAAUUCCUCUUAUAAGAAUCAGGAAAUUACAUGUUUUUAAACUUUUUAAAAAUAGAGAGAGGGAGAGGGAGAAUUCCAAGGAGGCUUCAUGCCCAGCACAGAGCCUGAUGCAGGGCUGGAUCUCACAGGCAAUGAGAUCAUGACCUGAGCCAAAACCAAGAGUCGGAUGCUUAACCGACUGAGCCACCCAGGCGCCCCAGUAAGGUACAUUUCUUAAAGCUGGGCCUGCUGAGGGCCCAGCCUAUGAGUGUUGGAGUAUAUUUGCUUUGAACAUCUUCCAGUCCAAAAUCGUUGCGGCCAUGCUCUGUGGAUGAACUGUAGGAAUUUGAUCACCCUUGGGUUUGUGUGAGAGUGAAUUUGGCCUCCACACUUCUUCAGGUCAUCUUAGGAGAGUUGAGUUGAACUUCUCUUUAGGAUUGCAUUCAUUCUUUUUAUUUAGCUCCUUGCACAUGUCCGUCAGCCCUGCUCUGCACAGUCAGGUUGUUGAAGCAUAUAAUCACCUUGCAUUUAAUAAGCUACAUAGAGUUACUGUUCUACUGGGGAGUGUACUUGCAGGGACGCCUAAUCUCAAAUUUAUUGCCACCCACUCAGUAUCAUUCAGAGCUUGCUUGAGAAUUUAGGGAGAACUGUUUGAACAAAGCAGUCCAACCAUUCUUCCAGAUAACCAAAAUCUAUCUCCGGAUUUAGUGGACCUUUGGGAAGUCCCUUACUUUGACCGCAACGUGUUGGUUCUCUAAAAGCUUGCUUUGAUUAAAUUCCACCUUGGUGUUUUAAAAAGAGAAUUCACUUGAGUGUUAACAUACUUGCAUUGUAAUUCAGGAGAUGUAUCUUUUUUUUGCAAACUAAAUUAAAAGGUAUAGCGACCAUUCAGAGAAACCAUCUGUCACUACUUGACUGUUAUAAUUAGGUUCAUAAUUUUUAAUGACAUUGUCAUAUGUUGGAAAAGAAAAGCUUUAGGACAUCAGUUGGAGGUUCUGCCCCUUCUCUGUAAGGCUGUAGUAGUUCAAUAUUUGGAAACCUCUUUGAAUAUUUAUCUUUCAAUUUUUUAAUUAUAUUUAUUUUUUUUGUUGUUGACACUGCUGAUGUGAUGUCUUCUUGUAUGUGAUAUUCCUUACUAAAUAUUUCUUCAUUUAUAUAAAUACUCUGCGACAGGCAGUCUUUAAUUUGAAAUGUGAAUUUAUACCUCUGUGUAUUACUCAGGUAAGUACAAAACAUAGGAAAUUAGUAACUGUACUUUAGUUGUACACUAAAAAAACUUUAGAAUUGGUUUCCAAAAUCCAUUAUGCUUCAAAUAAUUUUACUACUCCGUAAUUAACCAUGAAAUUAAAAAAAAAGAAACCCCAUUUCAAUUUUCUAUGUCUAUUCAUUCCUUUGACAAAUAUUUAUUUUUAUGCCUGUUAGGUACCUGGCACCAUGAAAACCUGUGCUCAGUUCUGUUCCUCUGUUAUAAUUAUUUAAUGUUUUGAAAUUAAAAUAUUUUGUGUUUAUAUGUUCUGUUAGUUAGAGAUCAUGUGAUGCUGUGUCACCAAAUACCGCAAUAAUAACAGCCCCAAAAGCCAGGAUGCGCCAAAUUAUAUUUGGUUUAUACUUAAAGAUUUAAUUGUUUAGAUGCAUGUUUAGAUGCAUUUAAUUGCGUGUUUAGAUGCAAUAUUUAAUAAGUUUUGUGUUCCAUCAAAAUUUAUAUUCUUUCCAGAACAACUUUUGAGUUGAAAAUUAAAUCGACCAUGUACAAUUCUUGAUAAAAUUAAACUAUUUUGUCUCUAAAAAUUGAGUCAUAUGAUUUUGACACUUAGCAAAUAGCCUGUUACAGUAGAUAAAAUUGCUUUGUGAUCUUAGCAAGUUUGAAAUCAUAAGUGACUCUCUCGAGGUCUUAGUAGCAUAUUAUAAAUUUGCUAUCUUGUGAUUAGAUAAGCCCAACAAAUUCAUACCAAAUUAGUCAAGAUACACAUUUUACUUUGUGCCAAUAGAUUUGUCAGCUUUUAGGUUAUUAUUUUUUUAACCAAUAAGUAGAAGUAUAGCUCUGAUUUGUUAUUCAUUAGCAAAGUACAACUGUUUUUUAAGCCAUUCGGAUUAUUUGGCAUUUAAGCAAUGCUUUCUACUUUAAAUGAUGCCAUUAUCACUUGAGAACUCUGCCUAUCACUUUGGUUAGUCUAGAAACGCAACUCGUUAUAGGAUGAAGUAGAAUAACUACUUAAUGAGGCAGAAUACAACUUUACAACCAGAAUAUGGGAGAAGUCCAGUUUACCUUUAAAACUGUUUGGUGUCUGCAUGGAAAAAAGUGUUAAUGUGCCUCGUAAAAUUUCUCAAGAAGUAUGCAAUGGUGAAUACAUUUCUUGUUCUACAUGAUUUCUUUCUGGAGAGUUCCUUUAAUCUAUGUAAAGUUGCCCACCUGAUAUUUGGUUGAGUUUGUUGAAAUGUAUCCAAAAUGCAAAGUAUCUCACUUGAACUACUUGUUGCAUAUAAUCUGGAGAAGACAAAGGUAGGAUGACUUCACAGGGAAGAGAACGUAAAUGAUUUCUUGAGAUCUCUCCCAAUACUGAGAAUGUGAUUUUGUGAAUUGAUGUUUAUAUUACACUUGAGUUAGAAAUAAGGAAGUAUUUGAAAACCAUGUGGCCGAUUAAAUACUGGACCACCCAGAAACGCCAUUCAGUGUCCUAAAACAAAGGUCUUUAAACCUGGGGUAGCUCACCACAUGUCUUGUAUGAGAGUGGGCUUUCCUUGAGCAAGAGAGCUCUAUGCCAGAUAUCCUUUGUGCCUAUAUAAAUGCAUCUCUCUGCCUUUCUUUCUUUCUUUCUUUCUUUCUUUCUUUCUUUCUUUCUUUCUUUCUCACUUUCUCUCUCUCUCUCUCUUCCUUCCUUCCUUCCUUCCUUCCUUCCUCACUAGCUUGCUCACUCAAGAGAACUCUAUGCCAGAUAUCCUUCGUGCCUAUAUAAAUCCAUCUCCCUUCCUUCCUUCCUUCCUUCCUUCCUUCCUUCCUUCCUUCCUUCCUUCCUUCCUUUCGCACUAGCUCGCUCACUCAAGAGAGCUCUAUACCAGAUAUCGUUCGUGCCUAUAUAAAUGCAUCUCUCUGCCUUUCUUCCUUCCUUCCUUCCUUCCUUCCUUCCUUCCUUCCUUCCUUCCUUCCUCCUUCCUCCUUCCUCCUUCCUCACUAGCUUGCUUACCCACUCGCUUGCUAAGAAUGCAGAAGGAGUGUAAUAUACUGAAUUCCUCUUGUACCACUGGUUUACUUUAGUCUCCUGCUUAUAUUGAGCCCUGGAUUAUUUUGGGUUAGCUUGUGAAUUUAAUGAGAUCAUAACACAUUGUGAUGGGUAUGACUGCAGAAUGGAAAAUGUCACUACUACGUGCCAGUUCAUUUAAAUCAUUUUUAAGUAUCCACCUGUGCUCUGAACUCUCCAUUCGAAUUUUACUGGCUAAUAUGUUUUGCUCCAGUUUCGGUUCCUUUAACUCUUAUACUUUGGUAAGUUAAUCUGGGAGCAUGUGCUCUCGCCCUUUCAGCUUCUGUUCUUGUUCUAAUAAAGGCCCCUCUGCUUGAUGGGUAGGCAUAGAGGGCUUUCUUAUUUUAAAAAUCAAUUUGAAAAAAGCAUAGUUUGUAAAGGGCAAGAAGAACCGUUAAACUUUAGAACAUAUUAUUUGGGAGAUGUUCACUUUCUGCUGUUGAUGUGCUGAAAUGUAGUGAAUGAGAAAUUGCAUCUAAAACAAUGCUUUUUUUUUUUAACUACUUUUUUUCCGUCUUCAGUGCCUGCCUGUUUCUGUGUUUUAUGAAAGUCUGCCUUCUCUGGUAGGGGCUUGGUGAUCUGGGGACAAGACAGCUCUGGGGAUUAACCUGUCUGCCUCAGACUGACUCCCUUUUUCCUUUUAAUCCUGCUGCCCUGUUAGUGACAUUACCAUGAGAAGGAGGAGGGAAUAAAGGAUUAGUGUAGAGAAGAAUGGCAGUUUUGAGGGUCUGAAAGGGUAAAAAGAAAGAAGGAAAAGGAGAGUAGAAAAAAAAUCUCACUGGAGGCAGGAGGUGAACUUGAGUUCUGGGAUCCCCCUUCUUUUUGUCCAGAAUAUAUUUAGGUUGGGUAGAUGUGGGGAGACACUUGAAUAGUAGGAGCAGCUGUGAUGCUGUAUAAUUAGGGGUGAAGCUUCAGUACGUGGGGUAGAACAUGGCUCUAAGGGCCUCCUGAAGUCCAACUGUGUAACCUUGGGCAAAUUAGUUAGCCUCUUUGGGCCUUGGUUUCUUCAUCCGUAAAGUGGGGAGACUGACAGUAGGGCUUCUUAAGAGUUGUCACGGGGAUUAAAUGAGCAACCAUAGGAAAAGUGCUUAGGAAAUGCUUAUUUAUUUGUAAGAUUCAUUUUUAAUAAUUAUUAGGAGUGGGAAUAGCAACGUGGAUGAUUUAAAAAACAUGAUUUGUGAGUCAUUUUAGAGAGAAAUAGCUCAUUGCUAAUAUAAACAGACCAUACUGGAUCUUCAAAGAAACCACUCACUUAUCUGAUUUUGUGCUUCUACUGUUGACACAAUGUCUUUCUCCUAGAAACUUUUACAGAUCCUUCAGGGCCCAUCUCAAAUGCCAUCUUCUUAAUGAGUUCCUGCUGAUACCUCUGGGCAGAAUUAUUUGGCUCCCUCGGGGGGGGGGGUCCCAUGGCACUUAGUUAAUAUUGUUAAUAGGACACUUAUUUCGUUAAAAGUAGAUCAUCUUUUUAACAUUUGUGUCUUCUCUCCUUGCUGACAAAUGCAGAUUCUGAUAAUUUUAAUAUUCAACAUAUGUAGUCUGUGUAUACGAAACAGGUAGAUGUUGUUGACAGUUGAUUAGGAAAGAUAGAGGAUUCUUCUAGUGUUCACUGGUAGGAUUCUCUUAAUACCUGAACCACCGCCAUGCCUUUGACCCUGCAUAUAAGAUCCCAUCUAGACAGUGUAAUAAAUACCUGCUUCACAUCCUCAGAAGUGCUCAAAGGAGCUGGCAAGCUGAUCUGGGUGGUUAUGGAAGAGAAAUGUUUAUUUUAUUGUUCUUUCUCUGUCUCCUCCUCCUUCACUUCCUCCUCCUCCACUUCCUCCUCCUCGUGCUCUCCUUUCUCUUACCCCACCUCAGUUUUGGGGGUAUAGUUAAUUUAUUUAAAGCUCCUGUUUCAGUUUGUUCAUCCACUUAGAAAUACAGUUAAUCUUAGUAUAAAUAGACUUUCCAUGAAGUAUUGUAUCACAGUGUCAUGGCAUUUUAAUUAAUAACCAGCCGAAUAUUUUCUGAUUGUAGACUACUUAUGUACACUUGCAGUAAUUCCCUUCCAAUCUGUUAUUGCAUCAGUGUUUUAUCUUGCAGCAGAUGGUAUCCUAUAAUUAAGAAAAAAAGAUAGUGUUAUUAUGACACUGAAUUUAAGAAUAAUAGCCAUAUACAAAUCUGUGGGCUAGGCUGAUGAGAAAUACAUACUGGUUUAUUUUUCUUAAAUGGCUUAAUAAUACGUGUUUUGUUCUGAUAUCUUUACAGGCAUAUUAGAAAUCAUCUGUAUUACAAUGUUAUGUCAUCUAAUCCAAAGGGAAAUAGCGCAUGGGCAUGUAUAGGCUUUUAUUUAUAAAUGGGUCAUUGAGAUAUGUUUCCUCUCUAAGAGGAAAUUCAACCCUACAAAACAGGAAAGAAUUGUAGAAACUCCCAUGUGCUUUGGAAAGUGACUUUUGCUCUCAUAUCGGGCUAAUGAUUGCUGCAUAUUAUAUCCAUCUCACUCUGAGUCACCUCUAUUUAAAAAUUAGAUAAAACUCAUUAAUAUGAAAAGGAGAGUAUUAGCAACGCCAUAGAUAUUAGUGUGUUGCAAUGGUGCUAGUAACCGGCCUUGGCUUGGAACCAGAUCCGAGAGAUUCUGUAAAGAAAUGCCAUGGUGGUGCUUCCAGUUAGCCAGGUUUCUUUCAGAAAAUUAUAAAGGAAUCUUCCAUGUAAACUGAUUGUCCCGCUGGUUGUAUUUUAUCACCCGAAGAGGUGGCUCUGUUGAACAGAGAACUGAAUGCCCAGGUGUGGGUCCUGAUUUUGCAACUUUCCUAGUUGUGUGAGUUGGGGCAAGUAAUUUAUGUUCUCUGAGCCUCAGUCUCUUCAUAUGUAAGAUGGGAAAUACUUAAGUAAUUGGCACUAAAUUUUAUCAAUAUGAAAAAUAUCCAUAGAAGCCUUCAUGACAUCAGUGAAGUUUGAGCCUAUAAAGUCAUUAUUUCAGUGAUUUAAGGAACUUAGACAUACAGUGCACCUUUGAAAAUCUCUACAGUGUUAUAUUUGUAAAUGACAGUGAUGGUAAGGUUUAGUAUGUAAGGCUAUUUUGCAAAUGGCAUUAAAUGAUUCCAAUUACUUAUGACUCUAUUUCAUUCAUAGAUGGAGACAGAACCCCGUUAGGACUGGGGACAGUUUCUUUUAAUUUCAUUAUGGCACACAAUUUAGUGAAGAGGGAUAGACCCCUUUGAGGUAGAUUACUAAGUCAGCUGUUUGAAAUUCUUUGUGUAAACCAUCCUAGGGCCCUUGCAGCUAUAGAAAUAGGAAAUGUAAUUGCCUUCAGUAUUCCCAGCUCUUUGUUUUGUCAGUGUUUUACAGAUUUCAAGGUGUUUUUGAAAAAAUAAAAUUUAUUCCCUUACUCAACAACAGGUUAGAUGGCACACAUCUUGGGGAAAUUAUCCUGCAUUGGUAGGGGAAAGAAAGAUGUAAAGAUGAAAGAUAUAUGAUGCCUUUAAAAAACUCUGGAAUUUUUGGAGGGGAGAUAAAACUAUAUCACUGAGGCAAUAAAAGAAGACAAGUAGAAUGAAGUUAUUAUCGAAAGAGAAGUACAGAGCCUUACAGUAAUUCAGACCCGGGAGACAUUACUUCUAGUGGUGAAAAUUGGCAAACUGGUGAACGUUUCUCAGGAUGAGGGUGGUGGAAAGGGAGAAAAGGGCAUUUGGGGGUCGAGGGGGACAGUAGGAGUAGUGGCUUAGGAAUGGGAUGAAGCCAGUGUUGAGUAGCACCUACCAAAAGGAGCAUGGUGGGAACAUUAGAUUAGAAAACAGCGCAGUGGGAAAAUAAGGAAAAAAGGUAGAAGUAAGUCAGAUUACAAAUUUCCUGGAUACCUGGUCAAAGAACUUGACCUGGAUUAUUUUGAAAUUUGAGGAAGUUAUUAAAGGUUUUUGAGCAAGGGAGUGCAUCACUGUGCUUUGAAAGAUGAAUCUGGCUACAGUGUAUAAAAUAAUCAGAAAGGUAAUAGAUGGAAGGAAGGGGGAGAACCAGUAUGAUGACAUCAUUCAUACUUCAAACAAGAGUCCAUGAACAACUGAAGAAUGGAAAUGUCAAUGAAAAUGAAUACGCAGUAGUCGACUUGGGUGGUUAGAAUGCGUAGGAAAUAGUCAUUGGUACCUGGUUACCAAGGCUGUAUGAGAGAGAGAGACAGAAACCGUAGAGAUGCCUCCAAGAUUUAGCUCAGAAGAGGGGAAGGGACUGCGGGAGAGCAGCAUUACCAAGAGGAGUGAAGCGAGGCUAAGUUUGAUUGGGGGAUGGGCAGAGGAGGUAGUGGGAAGGGAUGAGGAUUCAUGUUCUGAAUUCAUCGAGGUUUUGACCUACACAUCAGCUGUCCAGCUGGAGAUGGCUAGCAGGUGACUGGCAAUAUAGAAUAAGCUAGUAGAGGAAGUCAGACUGUUAGGACAACAUUUGAAUAAAUAGCCCUGGGAACUUAGAUUAAAAGUCAGUGCUUGAUGAGGCAGUGAGUACAGAUAUGGUUUUGGCAGUGUAAGUAAACCAAAUACCACGUGUAGGUUGAGGGAUUGAGGGGGCUGAGGGAUUUCUUUUUAGGAAAGUAAGAUGGAUAGCCGAACGUGUUCUCACCCUGAGGGAAAAGAGCCAGUACAGAGGACAAGAUGAAAGAUAGGAGAGAGGAAAGUAAUGCUUCUGAAAUUCCAUUUCGGUUACCAUGGCAUUGGUUAAAAUUGAAAUUAAGACCCUCAAAUGGCUACUAAACCUGAAUUACUAAAUUGGUAAUAAAGGCCUAAUGAAAGUAUUAGGAUUUGUACCAUUAGACCAUAUACAUGGAAGAGUUGAUAAGAUCCUCCUGGGAAGAAACCAGUGGAUAUAACUGAGCCUGAGCAAAUAAACAAACUGACUUUUAAAUACAAAGCAGGCACAGUUAACUUCCAUAAUCCUGGGUUGACAAUGAAUUAAUAAAUACUGGGUAGAUUUCUUACAAAAACUUCUCUUCCAUGUUCAUCAGAUAUUUCUGGUAUCCAUCUAGGAUAGUUGGCAUACGAGAAGCUAUGUAGUUAUACAAUUCUGAGUUAUAUUUUUGUGGUUUAUACUUUCCAUGGAGAAAUAUGAUAGGAUAAUGUAUUGGUGGGGUGUUUAUUUGUGUAUUUCAUUUUUUUAGCCUACCUGUGAUUUGCUUACUUUGUUAGUUUUCAGAAUUAAAAGCUUGAACUUUGCUAAGAAAGCAUUUUGUGUGUUUUGGUUUGUAAAUAACACCUAAUGUAAAGUCACUAGCAUAAAAUUCAUUUGGACUUUUCAAGGAAGGUGGUUGCAAAGCUUGAGGAUUCAGAGAAAGAAACUGGUAUGCUUUGUUCAGUGAAAAGCUGCCAAAUUUAUGAGGAAGUGCAAUCCAAAAAUGUUGAUAAAUUGAUUUCAUCUAAAUAUGUUCCCUAGUGCCCUUUAGUCUUCUAUAACUUGUUAGAAUCAACCUUGUGCAGCAUGAAUAAAACCUAAAUGCACAACCUAACUAAGGCUCUUUCUGCUUUCUCUGAAUCACCUAAAUAUAUUUCACCUUCAUUCCAUGCAUACACAUAUGACAAAAAUGACGGAGCAACAUUUGAAUGUUGUAUCAUGAUUUUGAAACCAUAAACAAAGUUGGAGGUUUUAUAAAACCCUGUCCUAAAGCUGAAAUGGAAAAAAUAAAUCCGUAUCUGGCUGAAAAUUUUUCUGUUGACACUGGGCCAAGUAAACAGUUUUCUUCUCAGACAGUAUUUCUGUAGCUGCAUCACACAUAUUAUGGCCUAACCGUGGCCAGGAAAUAGUUCGUUGUCAUUGCCUCAAGCUUUAAAAAAAAAAAAAAAAAAAACAAAAAACAGAACCAGAUAUGAACUUGGCAAGUUGCUCUUUAAAAUAUAUUUUAAGCGUUGGGUGUGUAUUUAAAGAAUUAAUUUACAUUUUUUUUUUUUUACUAAUUUUACAUUUUUACAUUUUUAAACUGGUCUCCCUAUUAUCCCUCAUUUUUUUCAAUUUGUUCUCCAUGGUACUGCAAGAAUUAUUGCACUAAAUCUGAAACACCUUAUUAUUACAGCAUCAGUAAUAAAUGCCCAUUGUUCUUAGCAUGGCUUUCUGAAUCAUCUAUAGAUUUUCUGUUCACAUGUUACCUCUCCAACAUCCUCUAAGUCUGGAUCUCCCUCUCCAUUAAGGACUAGGCUCUGUGAGUAGCCAGCUGGGUGGCUCCACCCCAAACAUGUCAUCUGCUCCCUUUCCCCACUUUUUGCAUUUCUUCUUCCCCCUUGAGAACAAACUUAAGGAUUGUAUUUCACGAGAAGUUUCGUUUCUAUUAGUUCAAAGUAAUUUCUCUUGGAAAAUUGGUAGUUUGGGUAACAACGGACUUAUACAUGAGAGCAGCUGCCUGGAAGUGAGCAGAUGUCCCCCUGUGCUGCUGCUCGCCAAGAUCCUGACCAGUUUCGUGGUGUUCCCAACACUGAGCUUGUCUCUUAUGUGCCAUCAAGUUUUGUGCUGCUGUUUUUCUCUUACACAUCACUUUGUGCAUAUGGUACCUGCAUUUCAGUUUGCAGCCUCUGGUGUAUAUAUAGCUUACGUCUGAGUAGAUCAUAAUGCGAUUUAAUCUACACAGAGGAAACACUUUACCAGUUUCAGUGGCACAGUGGGAAGAAUGGGGGUGGGUGGGAUGGACCGAGGUGGGGUGCUGGUUUGUCACCAAGAGUAGGGCUGUUGGGUGCAGAUGUGCUUGGCACAAGAGCAUUACAUCUGAGUGAUGUGAUUCUCACUGUAGAGACCAGAGAUUUGUCCAGACUAAUCGUUGGUACAAUGAUUUGUCAGUUUAUACUCUGUUUCUUCAAAUGAUUUCCAAGAAAAGCCAUAUUUUGAAUAAUAUUGUUAACCUUUAUCUUUCUGUCUUUGAAUUCACAGCUCUGUUUGGUCGUUUGACUAUAAACGUGAUCUUUUUUAUCGUUGUAAAAUACAUAUCAAGUGAAAUGUAUCAUUUUAGCCAUCUUUAAGUGCACAACUCAGUGGCAUGAAGUACAUUCACAGUGUUGUGCAACCAUCACCACUAUCCAUUCCCAGAAUCUUUAUAUCAUCUCAAACUAAAACUGUUACCCAUUAAUCGAUAAUUCUUCAUUCCCACCCACCCCCAGUCCCUGGUAACCACCAUUCUACUUUGAUCUCUGUGAGUUUGACUACUUCAGUCUCUUCAUGUACAUGGAGUUAUAUGAUGUUUGUCCUUUUGUAUCUGGCUUAUCUCAUUUAGCAUUUAUAUAUACAUUUAUAUAUUGAUAUAUAUAUAUAUAUAUAUAUAUAAAUUUAAAUUUAUGUGUAAAAUUUAUAUGUAUAAUUUAUAAAAGUAUAUACUUAUAUUUAGGUAUGAUAUAAACUAAUAGCUUUUGGUUCCAUAUUGGCCUUUUUUUUCUUUUAAAAAUGUUUAUUUUUGAGAGAGAGAGAGAGUGAGCACACCGUUGGGAGAAGGGACAGAGAGAGAUGGGGACAGAGGAUCUGAGGUGGACUCCUUGCUGACAGCACAGAGCCUGAUGAGGGGCUCAGACUCAUGAACUGUGAGAUCAUGGCCUGAGCCAAAGUCUGGCACUUAACCAAUUGAGCCACCCACGUGCCCCUUUUUCUUUCUUUUUAAAAAAUUGUGCAUGGUAUGCAGAACAUAAAAUCUACCACCUUAACCAUUUAAAAACAUUUUUUUAAACAUUUACUUAUUUUUUUGAGAAACAGAGAGACCGAGCACAAGCAGGGAAGGGGCAGAGAGAGGAAACAGAAUCUGCAGCAGGCUCCAGGCUCUGAACUGUCAGCACAGAACCUGACGCAGGGCUCAAACCCAUGAACUGUGAGAUCAUGACCUGAGCUAAAGUCAAAUGCUUAACCCACUGAGCCACCCAGGCACCCCUUAACCAUUUUUAAAUGUGUGCUUCAGUGAUAUUAAAUACAUUAAUGCUGUUGUGCGAGCAUCAUCACCAUCUGUUUCCACAAUUCUUUUUGUCUUAAACAACUGAAACUCAGUGCCUGUUACAAAGAAGCCCUUCAUUCUCCCUUUCCCCCAGACCCUGGCAAUCAUCAUUCUCUUCUCUGUCUCUGUGAUUUUGAAUACUCUAGGUACCUCAUAUAAGUAGAAUCGUGCAGUAUUUGUAUUUUUGUAACUGGCUUAUGUUGCUUAGAGUGUCCUCAAGAUUCAUCCAUGUUGUACCAUGCAUCAGAAUUUCCUUCCAUUUUAAGGGUAAAUAAUAUUCCAUUGUGUGUCUGUAACACCUUUUGCUUAUUUGUUUAUCUGUUGAUGGACACUCGGCUUGUUUCUGCCUUUUGGCUAUUGUGAAUAUUGCUACCAUGAGCUUGGGUAUACAGUAAGUAUACAGUAUCUAAGUCCCUGCUUUCAAUUCUUUUGGAUAUAUAUAUAGAGAGAGAUUACUCUUUUUUUCAGUUUAUUUAUUUAUUUUGUGUGAGAGAGAGCACAAGCAAGGGAGGGCAGAGAGAGAGGAAGACAGAGAAUCCCAAGUAGGCUCCAUGCUGUCAGUACAGAGCCCGAGGCGGGGCUUGUGAAAUCAUGACCUGACUGAAAUCACAAGUUGGACUCUCAACUGACUGAGCCACCCAGGUGCCCCUAUAUGACUUUUUAAUCAUAUCUAUUAUUCAUCUCCCAGAGCUCUUGUCCCAAUGUGUAUUUCUUGUGAAAUCUGUAUGCAUAUAGCAUUCUUUUAUUAUUUGUGCUACUGGGAGGAGGUUGAUAUAGAACUCCAGUGCUAGAAACUUCCAUCUGAAAACACUGGUUCCUAUCCCACAAGAAUUCCACAAAGCUUUCAUCUUUAAAGCUCUGCUGGGCUGUUUAAAUCAUGUUUCUUUAGAACUUCCAACAUUUUUAGCUUUUCCCUGAGUUUUUCUCUGGUAGACAUGCUUUAGGUAAAGCUCCUUCAUUUAUCAGUUGCUGUCUGAACUGGAUUUUGUGACUCACUGACUUAUGAUCUACACUGAACCAUGUAAAGAGAGGACAUGAAAAUGUUCAGUUGAUUUUAUUUUGGUUGGUGUUGAGAUGGGAGAUUCUGACUCUGUAGUGACGUUUGAGUUCCCACUCUGAGUGCUCUGAGAUAUUAUGGAUCAGAUAAUUCACCACCUCCAUCUCUUUGGGAUACAAAGAGAUGCCAUCCUCGGAGAGGAGCACACAUGCCUUUGGAGAUGGGAGGAUCUGGGGGAAGGACUGGUUUAACCAAUCAGGAUGCUAACUUGGUUGGACAUUCUACCUGUAAUACAUCGUGCAUCUGUAGACUGCGUGAACAAGACUGAAGCUGUUAAAUUUGACUGUCGUGCCUGUGGAGAACCGGUCAUUCCAUAUGUAGCUCUCUUUCUGAAGUUUUCUUUUAUGCUGAGCAUGGGAACUAGUAGCACUUAGUCCGAUUUUUGAAGAUCCUUACUUUUAACUACAAGGUACAAAUCUUCAUUGCUUAUCUUCAAUUUCAAUGUGAUGUAUGGGCAGAGUUUUUACAGAUUUACUUAUUUAUUGCUAUCAUUUAUUUUUCAAAAGGUAUUACAUAUAUUUACUUUAAAAAGGUGGAAAGGAUGUGUAGUGAAUGGAACAUUUUCUCCCAUGAGACAGCUGCUACCGCUAGUUUCUCGUGUGUUCCAGAAAUACUCGCUGUAUUGCUUUUUUUUUUUUGUCAGGUACAGCAUACGUACAGAAUGGUGGAUAAAGCAUAUGUGGAAGGUAUAAAGAAUCAUAAUAAAAACAAAGCAAUCAGGAAAAAGUUAUUGCUGGUCCUUCGAAGCUGCCUAUAUGAGCCUCUCCUCUUAAGAUGUAACCACAAUUCUGACUGCUGUGAUAACCAUACUCUGUAUCCAGCAAGGAUGCAGGGACACUGAAUGAUAACUGUUCUUGUUACAUAUAGCAUCUAAAUGUAGAGGCAAAGUCUUCCAAGCACUGAUGUAUUGCUCAUUGUAUUUUUUUUUAAAGUGUUUUAUUUUUUUUUUAAUGUUUAUUUUUGAGACAGAGAGAGACAGAGCAUGAAUGGGGGAGGGUCAGAGAGAGAGGGAGGCACAGAAUCUGAAACAGUCUCCAGGCUCUGAGCGGUCAGCGCAGAGCCCGACGCGGGGAUCGAACUCACGGACUGCGAGAUCAUGACCUGAGCUGAAGUCGGACACUUAACCGACUGAGCCACCCAGGCGCCCCGCUCAUUGUAUUUUUUAACCACACUGCAGAUGCUUCCAUGUGAUGACAGUGCUUCUCCUCAUCUGAGCUGAGACUUUGCUCCUCCCUUAGCCAUGACAUGAUUUAGAUCUUUGAAAAGCUUUUCCACUUAUAAGAGCACUUUAAAAUGUAACACAUUCAUGUGAUUUUAGACAUGUUGCACACCUGCUAAUGUAGAAUGGUGAUUCGGAAAAUGCAAGACGAUUAUAAAAUUUUAGAGCAUUCAAAAAUGGCAUUCUGAUUGGAAAUAGCUGCAUUUAUAUAUAAUAUGAGAAGGAUUAAUAUUCAAAAAAGAGAGCUCAGCCUUUUUAAUUUUCAUGAUUUGCAGAGUGCUUGAUAAUAGCAGAUUAUUACUAAAUGUUUAUGGAAUGGUACUGAAUUGAACUCUGUCAAAUGCAUACUUAAGUCAUUCUGUACACCUCUCAUAUCUUGUGCUCUGUUUGGUAGCUUGAAGAUUUGCCUUGAGUUCGGUAUUUAUCAGACUGACUAUAUGUCCUGUGCUACAGUUGUCAUACUUCUUUGUCUCUUACUCCCAGUCAGUAUCCUAAGAAGACUUUGGGUUUCUUUUGCUUUGUGUGAGGCAAGAAAGAAGAAAAGGGAGUCUGGGGCACCUCAGUGGCUCAAUCGGUUAAGUGUCUGACUUUGGCUCAGGUCAUGAUCUCGUGGUUCCUGAGUUCAGGCCCCACGUCGGGCUCUGUGCUGACAGCUCAGAGCCUGGAGCCUGCUUCAGAUUCUUUCUCCUUCUUUCUCUACUUCUCCCCUUCUUGCUCUCUCUCUCUCUCUCUUUCUCUCUCAAAAUAAAUAAAACAUUAAAAAAAAACAGAAAAUAGAGUUUAUUUAUUAUUAUCAUUUUAUUAUUGUUUUGUUUUGGUCCUUCUCUCUUCGUUUCGUCCAUGUCAACGUAUUGGCAGUGAUGUCUCCUGACUGUGGUGGAAAUGAAGGUGUGGCUGUUCGGUCAGCUGCAGUGGACACUCUUCUUGGUCCUUGUCUGUUGCUGAGGGUGGAGGACACGUUUUGGGGAUUGCUUUACUAGGAGUAAAAACAAGCAUGUGUGUGUUUAGUGCGAUUGUUUUAUAAGAUGUCAUGGGACUUUUCCCGAGUAAUGUCCCAUUUGGAAUUCCCUCGCUUCAGCUGGCAAACUCGAGCUCUGCUGGUCCUUGGAUAUUGUACCAUAAACUCGUAUGCCAAAUGUUGGAGCAAAGAAAGGAAGCUUGUAAAGAAAUUUCAUUUUACAGAACUUGUAAAGUAUUCAUGGUUCGUCAUUCUUUAAAUUCCAGAAAUGAGGGGGUAAUUUGUGGGGACGAAUAAUUAAGGAAAGAAAAGAUUUUGUGAUGGAAAGGAGGAGCAGGCAGAACGGAGAGGUUGGCAUGUGUAUUGGAAAAUUGUGGUAAUUUAGCAGGUAAUCAAAGACACUGAGAACAGUGCAUGUCAUGAUUUCAAAGGAGUAUAGACUGUUUUCUUUCAUUUCCUCUCCUGUGGAUCUGUUCUCUUCCAGUUUUCCCCCCCUCCCACUUCUUGUUUGUGAGGGCUUCGGGCUCUAUCUUUUUUCCUUGUAUAUAAAAUCUUUUUGUUUUACUUUAAAUGAUAUUUCAGUUGGCAUUGGGAAGAUAAUAAUGUCUUCUGUUUCACUGUAGCAUACUAAUGCUCUGAAAAGAAAGAAAGAAAGAAAAAAAGGAAACUAAUUUAGAAGAAAUAGAAGCUAAAUGUUUCAUGGUGAAGUAAUCCUGAACUUUCCUGAGUAAUCCUAGAGGAUCGAUGUUCAGAUGUUAAGGAAAAAGUCAGACUCUUUGGCUUCUGAGGGACCUGAGGAGGCCCCAGGGUACAUCAAAAUGUUGCAAGAUGUAUUAGAACAUGUAUCUCCAUAAGCUAAGUUCCCUGGAGAUCAUUCAGCCUUUAGAAUAUCUUGAGAGACAGUUGUAGUGAGAAAACUGUUUCCUCCUAACUCAUCCCCUUUUGAAAACAACUUAAAUCUUAGCUGCUCUAAAGGAUAUGAAAAUGAGCGAAUUAGGUUUUCAUUUGCUUUUUGUUUGUUUUUUGUUAUUCACAGUCUGUAUUCUAUCCAACAGUUAAAUCUUUUCUAAACCUUUUUUUCUGAAACUGAAAAAAGAAAUCAAGAAUUGAGAAAUAUUUGUGGCUGCAGUUAGAUUCUCAGAAAGAGGGGGACGUCUCCCCCCAAAUAAGUAGGAAGUAAUAGAAACUUGCAGACAGAUUGAAUUUUUAUCUUGACUGCCUUUUCCCUUGGAAAUUCCAGAAAUAUGAAGAGUGAGGCAAUAGCAAACAUGGCUCCCAUGUCCUUAGACCUUUAAGUGGUCUUUCUUAACAGCAAAGAUAGGCAGUUUUGUAAAACGCUGUUUUUAGUAUUGAACCACAGAAUUCCACUUCCCUUAUGACUGCUAAUAUUUAGCCUUACACAUUUAUUUUCACUCUGUGAUAACAGGCAACAUACCAGUGAUUAGUUUUCACAAGUGUUUGAGGUGUUCUGUAAGAAUACACAUCAUUUUAUGUUCUAAACAUUCACCUUUUUAAGGUUUUUAAGCAAUUAAUAACAUAGUAUAAUUUAGUACGUUGCGAAUACUUCAUUGCAUCUAUGUGGCGAGGCAUUUAACAGAAUCAAUUGGAAGUGUAUAUUUGUAAUUCUUUCGCCUUUUAGUCAGACAGUGUAUUUCUUAAGGAGUAAAGAAACUUGAGAUAUAACCUGCUGCUUCUUCAUUUUGGUCACAAAAAUAUUUUUUCCUCAGAAGUGUGGCAUUGAAUUAUCUAUUGUUUUAUAAUGAGAACAUUAACUCAGAGAACACAUAGUUUCUUUCAGACAGUCUCCAGAAUAAUGAUCAAAAGGCAAAUCAGUACCAUUUAAUGUGCCAUACUGUAUGAAUAUUGUUUUGGGUUUUGUUUGAGGACUCGACUGGAUAUUUUCAGUGAUCUGUUAGGAUAGUUUUCUUUAGUUCUCUUCCCUCCAGUAUGAUACAUUCUUUCAAAAUGAUUUUAUUCAACCUCAGGAAAUUGAGAGAAAGGACAACAUCUUAUUUUGCAGUUCCUUAGAAAAGAUUUCAUCAAUACAUGACUGUCUCAGAAUCUCCAGGGUUGUCAGUAGUAUAAUGUAUGUUAAUAAGGUAGAAGGUUCUGGGGUUUGAUGAGCUGUGAUAGGCAUUCUCUCUGCCCAUUGGUGCCCAGCUGCACAGCUCGGCAUAGAUGCUCAAUCUGGCAACUAGAUCAGGUUGGCCCAGAGGAUUCCCACUGUCCAGCCAGGCAAACUGUUGGAUCUUGCUGUGGUAGCACAGUGCCCAAGCUGGUGGAGCACAAGGAAGACAGAUACAGGCAUGAGAUUUGUUGGUGUAGUCUUUCCAGCGGUUGAGAACUCAGGAACCUACAGCCUAUAAAUAGGGUAAGUAGGCUGGAGAAGCAGGAUUUAGAAAAAAAAUCUGACAGGUAGGAUACCAAGAAGUAUCUUCCAUUCUGGAAUUUGGGCAUAGAAGCUGUUAUCAGUUGGGAGCGCUUCGGGUGCCUAUCACUUUGAAACUGUCUUUUGGGGGAGUGUGCUGGUCAACCAUGUGGGUGACAGCAGGAAGACCUUAACACUAAUUUCCCACAGGGGCACAGCUGGGACAGUUGAGAUUCUUUCUGCCUCUGGAUGUGCUGGCUCAGAUAGAGGGUUUGUGAAGUUGAGAUCAACAAAGACAGUGAAGGAGAGUUUUGACUUAUUAAUAUGUUACUUACUUAUUUUUAGUUUUUAAUUUUAAAAUUACUUUUAAACAUUCUUUUAUUGAGGCAUGCUUGACAGAUUACAUUCGUGUCAGGUGUACUACGUAAAAUUAGAUAUUUGUAUAUAUUGCAAAAUGAUUGCCGCCCUAAAUCUGGGUCACAACCAUCACCAUACACAUUCACAGAUUUAUUUUCUGCGAUGAGAACUUUUAAGAUUAACUCUCUUAGCACAUUUCAAAUAUUCAAGUCAGUAUUAUGAACCCUAGUUGCCAUGUUGUACUUCGCCAUGACUUAUUUUAUAACUGGAAGUUUGUACCUUUUGAUUCCCUUCACCUAUUUUACCACCGCUAGCCUCCAGCCUCUGGCAACCACCCAUCUGUUCUCUGUAUCUAUGAGCUUGGGUUUUAUUUAUUUAUUUAUUUAUUUAUUUAUUUAUUUAUUUAUUGGAUUUUCAGGGGUUUUGUUUAUUUUAGGUUCUACAGAUAAAUAAGAUUAUAUGGUAUUUGUCUUUCUCUGUCUGACUUAUUUACCAUAAUACCCUCAAAGUCCAUCCAUGUUGUCACAAAUGGCAAGAUGUCAUUCUUCCUUAUGGUUGCAUAAUAUUCCAUUACAUGUACAUGUACAUAUAGAUAUAGAUAUAGAUACAGAUAUAGAUGAUAUACACACACACCAUGUUUUUUUUUUUUAUUCAUUCAUUUAUCAGUGGCAUUUAGGCUAUUUCCAUAUUUUGCCAAUAUAUUGUAGCUAAUGCUAUAAUGAACAUAGGGGUGCAUAUAUCUUUUUGAUUUAGUAUUUUCAUUUUCUUUGGAUAAAUAGCCAGGCAUGGAGUUGUUGAAUCACAUGAUAUUUCUAUGUUUACUGUUUUCCACAGUGGCUGUACCAAUUUACAUUCCCACUAACGGAACACAACAGUACAUAAGGGUUGCCUUUUCUCCAUACCCUCUUCAAUACUUCUUGUUGUUUUGAUAAUAGCCAUUCUAACAGGUGUGAAUUGAUAGUUCAUUGUGGUUUUGAUUUGCAUUUUCCUGAUGAUUUGCAGUGUUGGUCAAUCUGUAUUGGAUUGGUAUUGGUCUUUGGAGAAAUGUCUAUUCAGAUCCUCUGUCCCAUUUUUAAAAAAUGAUUUGUUUAUUUUUUUCUUGUUGACUUGUAUGAGUUCUUUAUAUACUUUGGAUAUUAACCUUUUAUUAUAUAUAUGAUUUGCAAAUAUUUUCUCCUAUUCAAUAGGUUGCAUUUCAUUUCUUUGAUAGUAUUCUAUACAGGAGCUUUUUAGUUUGAUGUAUUUUUACUUGUUUAUUUGUGUUUUUGUUGUCUUUGCUGAUGCUGUCAGAUCCAAAAAAAUCAUUGCCAAGACCAAUGUCAAAGAGAUUACUGCCUGUUUUCUCCUAGGAAUUUUAUUAUUUCAGGUCUUACAUUCAAGUCUGUAAUCCUUUUUGAGUUAAUUUUUGUGGAUGGUGUAAGAUAGUGUUCCUCUUUCAUUCGUUUUCUACGUGCCUGUCCAGUUUUCCCUGUACCGUUUAUUGAAGAGACCGCCCUUUUCCCAUUGUAUAUAUUCUUGGCUUCUCUGUCACAAAUUAAUUCACCAUAUAUGUAUGAUUUAUUUCUGGACUCUCUAUUCUAUUCCAUUGAUCUAUGUGCAUUUUUUUUUUAUGCCAAUACCAUACUAUUUUGAUUACUUAGCUUUGCAAUGUAGUUUGAAAUGAGGGAACAUGAUGCCCUCAGCUUUGUUCUUCUUUCCCAAAAGUACUUUCACUGUUCGGGAUCUUUUGUAAUUCCAUGCAAAUUUCAGAAUUGUUUGUUAAGGUUCUAUGAAAAAUCCCUUCAGAAUUUUGAUAGGGAUUACAUUGAAUCUGUAGAUUGCUUUGGGUAGUUUGGUCUUUUUAAAUUUUUGAAUAGCUUUCUUGAGAUAUAAUUCACAUACCAUGUAAUUUAUCCCUCUAAAUUGUACAACUCAGUGGCAUUAAGUAUAUUCAUAUAGUUGUAUAACUAUUACCCUAUUUUUAUUACCCCUAAAAGAAACCUCAUAUCCCUUUGGCAAGAUAUCCUCAUCCCCACAUUCUCCCAGACCCUGGCAACUUCACGUUUACUUUCUGUUUGUGUAGAUUUGCCAUUCUGAGUAUUUCAUAUGAAUUGGACUCAUAAAAUUUGCAAUCGUUUACAAAUGGCUUUUUUCACUUAGCAUCAUAUUUUUAAGAUUUAUUCAUGUUAUAUCUUGUAUUAAUAUUUCUUUUAUUUUUAUUGCUGAAUAAUAUUCCAUCGUGUGGAUAUACCACAUUUUAUUUAUCCAUUCAUCAGUUGAUGGAUAUUUGGGUUAUUUCCAUUUAGGCUAUUAUGAAUAGUGCUGCUAUAAACAUUUGUGCUCAAAUUUUUGUGUGGAUGUGUUUUCAUUUCUCUUGAAUAUUCUACCUAGGAGUAGAAUGCCAGGCCUGUUAAUAUGUUUCAAAUUUUUUGUAUAUAUUUAGGAACCAUGUAAAAUGGUUUGUAAAUACAAUCAGUAGUAAAAUCUAUAGUUAUUUGUGGUUUGCAAUAAAAAGCUUCUUAUGUAUAUUUUAUGUAAUAUAUUUAUAUAUUUAUGUAUUUUGUAUAUGUUUAUGUGUUAUAUAUAUUUAUAUAUAUGUGUAUAUAUAUAUAUAUAUAUAUAAUAAUGGUUUCUGAGUUGAUAGACGUCUCACUGUUAUUAGCUAGCCCUUCUUUUCUAUCCACAUUACUAAAAUAUUUAAUCUUAGUUCUCAAUUUUUGUGGCUGGUAACCUCUUACUCUGUUAUUUUUUUUUAUAGGAAUGGGAUGACUUUUGACACCAUAUGCAGAUGUUUGCUUAUAAUUUAUAUGUACUAAUUUUCAGUACCUUAAAAAUGGUAGUGUAUGUAUGAUAGUAUUUUUAAAAGUAGAAAAUUCUAAGAUACAUUGUUAAAUAUUAAAUAGUAUUAAUAUUCAUUAAUGUGGUUAUUAAUAAACAAUUGUCUUCCUUUGAAAUGCAAA